rnacentral:rRNA from 1 species
ACGUAGGGGGCCAGCGUUGCUCGGAAUUACUGGGCGUAAAGGGUUCGUAGGUGGUGCGGCAAGUUGGAAGUGAAAUCUCUGGGCUUAACCCAGAGGCUGCUUUCAAAACUGCCGUGCUCGAGUGCGAGAGAGGCCAGUGGAAUUGUAGGUGUAGCGGUGAAAUGCGUAGAUAUCUGCAGGAACACCCGUGGCGAAGGCGGCUGGCUGGAUCGCAACUGACACUGAGGAACGAAAGCUAGGGGAGCAAACAGGAUUAGAUACCCUGGUAGUCCUAGCCCUAAACCAUCAGAACUUGGGGUGGCCCGCGUAGGCGGGUCGUCCCGUAGCUAACGCGUUAAGUUCUGCGCCUGGGGAGUACGGUCGCAAGACUGAAACUCAAAGGAAUUGACGGGGGCCCGCACAAGCGGUGGAACAUGUGGUUCAAUUCGACGCAACGCGAAGAACCUUACCUGGGCUUGAACCGCUACUGACCAACGGUAGAAAUAUCGUCUUCCCGCAAGGGACAGUAGUAGAGGUGCUGCAGUGGCUGUCGUCAGCUCGUGCCGUGAGGUGUUGGGUUAAGUCCCGCAACGAGCGCAACCCUUACUCGUAGUUGCUACCCGCAAGGGAGAACCCUACGAGGACUGCUCCGGAUAACGGAGAGGAAGGUGGGGAUGACGUCAAGUCAGCACGGCCUUUAUGUCCAGGGCUACACACGUGUUACAAUGCACGGUACAGACUGUUGCGAACCCGCGAGGGGGAGCUAAUCGGAUAAAACCGUGCUCAGUUCGGAUUGCAGUCUGCAACUCGGCUGCAUGAAGCUGGAAUCGCUAGUAAUGGCGUAUCAGAUCGACGCCGUGAAUAC